rnacentral:lncRNA from 1 species
GAGAAAGAGAGAGAGUUAGACUUGUAUGCUUUCAGAAAGUACGGAGUUAUUUUGAUUAGAUGAUAUACAAUUUAACGAUAAGCUAUUUUAGACAUGAUCUAUAUUAUUACAAUUAUAUAGAAAUCAAAUUUAAUAAUUUUUUAAUUUUAUUUGCGUAGUAAACGAGUAGUCAUUAAAUGGAAAAUAAAAAUUUUAUAAAAAAUAGUAAAAAAAUUUAAAUUUAAGAUCGAAAGUACUAAUCCGACUCUUGAUGAUACGUAAAAUUUUACUUAAUUUGAAUUAUUCUACACCGUUGAACUUACAAAUAUAUCACAUCAGCUAUUAAAAUAAUCAAUUUUUAGAUUCUUUGAAUAUUUGACAAAUUAAUGAUAUUAAAAAAUU